AACCCAACCUCAUCUGGAAACCAACAUCUCCAAAGGUUAAUUUCCUGAAACCAAUUAUAUCAAUAUUUAUCCAAAUAUAUAGAAAGCAAUUUUGAUAAGACUUGUUAGUUUUAUAUUCAAGAAAAAAGAUUGCACUAUUGCAUUGUGUUUUCAGUUUUUCCCUUAUUAAAGUUAUGCUUUCAGAACUCUUAUUUAUUACAGCAUUUUAAUUUAGAAAAGUUUACCCAUUACAUUGAUUAUGUAUGGCUUUUGACUUAUGUUUUGUGGUAUGUGUUUGUAUGAGCUGUCAUCACAUGUUAUGGGAAAGACAGAAGAAAUUUUCUUUUACGAAUUAUAUUCAUAUCAAGUCCAAGGUAUGUCAUUUCCUGAUGCUGUUAUUCUUUUUCAAUUUCAAUUUUCUUUUACCANUUUUUGAAUCUUUCAUGAUAGAAAUUUAAAAUCUUUAUUGUUUUUCAUUCAGGCUGCUGCUACUGAAGGUUAAGAAGGUAGCGUACUCACAGAUUAUACGCAUUAUAUUUUCAAAAUUUUCCAUUUUACAUUCGAUUUUCUAAAAUCACCCAUUUUUAGCAUUGUACUUUAGCUUUUUCUCAUUUAUGCAUAUACGUUGAAAAAAACUUAUAAUUAAAGCAUUGUACUUUCAAAAAUUUCCAUUUCACAUUCAUUUUUCAUGAAUCAUCCAAUUUUUAUCAUUUUACUUUAACUUUUCCUUAUGUAACAUCUUUGAAACAACAAACUUCUCAUUUCUCAUCUAUGCAUUUUAAUUUGGAAAAACUUACAAUCAAAAUAUUUUAUUUUCAAAAACAUUCAUUUGACACCCGAUUUUCAAAAAUAUCCCGUUUUUAGCAUUGUACCUAAACUUUUUCUCAUGUUUUACUUUGAAAAAACAUUACAAUUAAAGCAAUCUACUAUAAAAAACUUUCAUUUAACAUUCAAUUCUCAAAAAUUAUCCAUUUUUAUCAUUAUAUUUUAACUCUUUCUUUAUGUAACAUCUUUGAAACAUGAAAUUUCUCAUUUCUCAUCUAUGCAUUUUACUUUGUAAAAAAACUUUCAAUUAAAUCUUUCUACUUUCAAAAACUUCCAUUUUAUAUUUGAUUUUCAAAAAUCAUCUCAUAUUUAGAAUUGUACUAACAUUUUUUUUAUGUAACAUUGAAAAAAAUUGCAAUUCAAGCUUUUUAUUUUCAAAAUCUUUCAUUUUACAUUGUAUUUUCAAAAACCAUUCUAUCUUUAGCAUUGUACUAGAACUUUUCUAUCUGUAACAUAAUUAAAACAUCAUUCUUAUCUUUUUCUCAUCUAUGCAUUUUACUUUGAAAAAACUUGCAAUUCAAGCAUUUUACUUUCAAAAACAUCCAUUUUACAAUGAAUUUUCAAUAACCAUCCUAUUUUUAGCAUUGGACUUUCACUUUUUUUUUCUGUAACAUCAUUGAAGCAUCAGACUUCUCUUUUACUCAUCGAUGCAUUUCACUUUAAAAAUCUUCUAAUUAAAGCAUUCUACAUUCAUUAAAGUCCAUUUUAUGUUGACUUUUCAAAAUAUCAUCCCAUUUUUAGCAUUGUAGAAACUUCUUAUUGUUGAUACCAAUUACCUCAAUGAUGCUUCUAAGAAGUUUCUACAAGAUAAUACCUUAAGGGUAAAUUCCCCAAAAAAACCUGUUUAUAAAUUUUAUAUUUGAAAGAUGGAUUUAAGAACCUUUGUCAUGAAAUGUUCAGUGGCUGAGGCUAUGUGUGCCACAGAUGCAAAACCCCAAGUAGAUUAAUCCUACUUUUGCUCAUUGUUCUUUUUUGUAAGAAAUCUGUUAAGUUAUACUACAAUAAUUCUUUUACCAGGGCAUGUAUUGAGUCUUUUUUUACAUUUUACAUUUUACUCCCUCCCCUCAUUAAGAUUUUCUUUUUAUCCCCCUUAAUCAAGUUGUAUGUUAAAUCUUUAUUAUUUUUUGACUAUUUAAUUUAUUCUACGAAUAUCUUUAAUAGGAAAAAUAUCAAUAGAAAGCAUUUGCCAACACUAGGUUCAUGUGGUAUAAUGGUUUUUGUUAAAUAGUUAGAUGUAGUGAAGCCAUUUGGGAAUGAAAUUAGUUGAUGAUUACAUAAGAUGUUAAUUUUUUUAUGCCAUUCUGAAUAUUAUUCAUUAAUAAUUAGGUUGUCAAGUGUGGUCUGUAGCAGGAUUACAGACUUAAUGUAUGUCAAACUAAUGAUGAGGGGUAUCCAUGUCAUUUCAUUGCCACUCUUAUGGAAGGAGUCUUUCUCACUAUUUUGUUGGCCCUCAUGAAUCCAAUUUUGCUCCUGGUAUUAUAUAUAUAUUUUUAUAUCUUUUUAACAUUUAUAUUUACAAUUUUAUUGUAUAUACAAGAAAGAGCCAAAUGUUAUUCUUUUCUCAUAAUAGUUGAAUUUACUUCUAUAUUUUUCAAGAUUUAUCAUUUUCACUUUGAAAUCAAACUUCAUAUAAGAUUUUCUCAUUAUUUUCUUCUGUCUUCCUUUCCCUUAAAUAUAGGGAUAUCCAAAAUGUGAUAUUUUUUAUUACAAUUUAGGGCAGUUAAGUUAUUUAAAAAAAAUUAAUAUUCAUUAAAUCCUACUAAUUUUUAAAAUGAUGCUUAUUGCUAUAAAUGUAUUUCUUAUAGCUUUAUAAGUAUUUUUGAAAUAAUUUAAUCUACUUUGGAAUGGAAAUUUUAAUUGAGAAUUGAGAUAUAUUGAUAAUUAAUAGACUGUCUAAUUAUGGGUUGAUGUUUUGAAAUAGGUAGCAAUUAUGAUUUGGAGGUUGUUUUUUUAUUAUAAACAUAGAAUAGAGACAUUCCACUUUUAAUAUUUUUAUUUUAAAUUUGCAGGCAGGGUUUCCGAUGACAGUUAGUUAACUGACUGGUUCUUCCAUGGGUGGUGGUAUGAAGGUAAU
rnacentral:lncRNA from 1 species